ACUGUCCAGAGAAAGAGUGCAUCCGAUGUGAAAAAAUGAUUAUGAAGGAAUUCAUAUGAAAUAAAAGCACAUCAUAAAAGUUUAUUAACAUAUUCACAGAUGGCGUUAAUCAGCAAUUCACAAAUGAUGCUUGUAAACGUGUGUACAACAGGAACAAUCGCGUAGUUUUAUUUGAAAACACUGUACACAUAGAACAGUGUAAAUUAAAACAUGUACUGUACAGGCAGAAAGCAGGAAACGUGGUACAUCACUGAUUAAUGACAAAUAUUUAUAUCAGACGUGUCGAGCAUGACGGCGGUUCAGCAACUGCGGUAAAAUAAUUAUUGUAGCAAAACCACGAAACUAAAAGAAAGCACAGCGUAGUGCAGAACAUCGCGGGUUCCUGAGGAGGGCUAUCUCUGUGUUAAAGCAAAAAAAGUGACAGAGCAUCAGGUGACCUUCGUUUCCUGUGUACGUGCUGAAAACUUACCCACAAUUCCAACAAAACCCCAAAGCAACAUGGCGAUAGCUGUAAUAUAAAUAAUUAACCAUGUAGUAAAGCACCAAGUUGUAAUCACUGGCUCUGGUUAUUUCCUAUUUGGUAGCAUUUGCCGCACGCACACACACACACACACAAAUAAAAUGGAAGAAUAGGCCACAUCCCUGAAUUCCAGGGAUGCUAAAAUAUAAAAAAAUAUUGUAAUUCUCUGAAUAUCUGUAAAAGAGGAGGAAGGUAAGGAAAGAUGGAGAGAAGGAAGGAAGGAAGGAAGGAAGGAGGAAGAAAGAAAAGAUAUAAAUAUGAGAAAGAAAUAAAAAUGUAUACUGUCCACCUGCACAGAGUGAAUUUAAAGUUUCUGAUUGGACGGCUGAGGAGGCCAUUAUAUCAUCACAAGUUGGAAUUUCCGGCGCGUCCACCAUAGCCAUGCAAGUACCCAUGAAUGAGCCGUUACCAUAGAAACUAUCUCUCCUGACUUUCCCAUUUCCUAUUCGGGAACGUUCGCUACACAAAAAUGGAAGAAGCGGAGCAGGCCACACCCACAAGUCGUACAGAGAUUCGAAAAUAUAUAGACGAUAUGACGGAAGGUGAUUCGGGCUGAACGGCAUUGUGGGUAAUGAAACUGAGUUCAGGGUCAUAAUGAUGGUGAUUACAUGCAAGAAACUUCCAAAAAAAAGUAUCUGCUGAAAUAAGAGGACAAACUUCAGUUCUUUGUAGAAUUUUGAGGUAAAACGAAUGAAAAUCCCCCAAACACCAAAUUACACGCUGAUGUUGUGUUGCACUGAUCAUAUAUUUGCUCAGAUUUACCUAAAUUCGCUGUUAAUAAAAGAGGGAAAUAGGUGUGUGCGAGUGUGUAGAGUGUGUUUUUGUCCCUCAUUGACAGCGUGACGCUCUUCAUCCGUGUCACACUAAACACGCUAAUGCUGCUCACAAGUAAAAGCCAGCAAGUACACGCUAAUUCCCAGCGAAUCAAGCAGAAGAAGCCUGAGAGGGCAGAGUCUCUGUAUUGACAGGUGUAGGUGAGAUUACAAGAUUCUGUUCUAUUGAAGAAGUGGAAGUUUUGCUGUUUUCAUCCGAAAUGGCUGAUGAUGAGGCUUUAUCUUCUGUAUCCAGAAUGGCUGAUGACGACAUCUGUCGUGGUUCUGUUUCUUCUAACGACAUCUCAAAUGAUGAAACAGGUGCAGAUCUCGUCUCGUCCGGAUACGGAAGGCCAUGACAGGUUUUUCUCUGAAUGGGGUUGGGUUUGAUCUGCAGUUUUGCUAAAAACAAGAAAUGAGCGUAGAUAAAAGCAAUUUCAGAAACUACAAAAUAUCCCGACAUGGGCUGAAUGUACAGCAGUAAAUUUGAAAAUCUGCCCGAUUUCCAUCACACACCUCUUCUGCUUCUUUCUGGAAGUUUUCUCCUUUUAGCAGGAAGGUCCCUCUCCUCAAUGUUCUCCUCAGUCUUACAGCUUGAUGUUGAUGGUUCCACUAGACAAAAAUGAUUUUAAUCACAUGGUGAUGAGUAAAAUACACAAGAAACACAGUUAAAAACAUUACUGCCAUUAUAUUAUACAGUCAGGUUAUUGCCACAGUACCACUUUAGCCUAACAUUGUACAUUUCUG
ensembl:lncRNA